UUGUUUUAUGAAUUAGGUUGUGGUAGCAAUGUGUUCAGACUAUUGUCGCGAAGAGAGGUUUGUCCUCGAACAAAGCGUUUGUCUAAAAGACGAUGGAGAGAAGCUUCAAAGCAGUGUUCUAGUUCCUUGGAGUCAAGGUUUGAAAAGGAGCCAAAUUCAAGACGAGGUCUUGUCUCAUGGUUCAGGGUAGAGUUAGAAUCAUUGCAGCGUCUAUCAGCAGAUUAUUGCGUAUUGUUGCCUCCCCCAAGGUCAACUAUUGCAGAAGCAUUCAACCUUGAUGGGAAGGCGCUGGCUUCUACACAUGGGGACCAUACGGUAAAGAUUAUUGAUUGCCAAACUGCAAGAUGCUUAAGAGUGUUGCGUGGACACCGGAGGACACCCUGGGUGGUAG